GACGAACGCUGGCGGCGUGCUUAACACAUGCAAGUCGAACGGUGAAGCGCCUUCCUUUUUGGUGGGUGUGGAUGAGUGGCGAACGGGUGAGUAACACGUGAGUAACCUGCCCCCUUCUUCUGGGUAACCGCAUGAAAGUGUGGCUAAUACGUGAUAGUCUGGGUCUGUCGCAUGAUGGUUCUGGGGAAGAUGUUGUUUCGGUGGGGGAUGGGGUGGCGGCGUACCAGCUGGUUGGUGGGGUGGUGGUGUACCAAGGCGGCGGCGGGUGGUCGGCGGGGGGGGGUGGGCGGUAGCACUGGGGGUGCGAAACGGCGCCGCAUACUCCGGGGGGCAGCAGCGGGGAAUAUUGGUGAAUGAGGGGAAGAAUGAUGAAGCGGCGCCGCGUGAGGGAUGGAGGCGUUCGGGGUGUGAACCUCUUCCGCCAGUGAAGAAGGCCUGACUCGUUUGUGGGUGGGUUGACGGUAGCUGGAGAAGAAGCGCCGGCUAACUACGUG
rnacentral:rRNA from 1 species